rnacentral:tRNA from 1 species
UGAAUAUAGCUUAGUGGUAGACUGUUUACCUACCAUGUGCAAGACCUUGGGUUCAAUCCCCAGUACUGUAA